rnacentral:rRNA from 1 species
UACAGAGGUCUCAAGCGUUGUUCGGAUUCAUUGGGCGUAAAGGGCGCGUAGGCGGCGGGGUAAGUCGGGUGUGAAAUCUCAGAGCUCAACUCUGAAAUGGCACUUGAUACUGCUCUGCUAGAGGACUGGAGAGGAGAUUGGAAUUCACGGUGUAGCAGUGAAAUGCGUAGAGAUGUGGAGGAACACCAGUGGCGAAGGCGACUCUUUGGCCUGUAACUGACGCUGAGGCGCGAAAGCGUGGGGAGCAAACAGG